rnacentral:lncRNA from 1 species
CAUAAGAUGGGGACGUUAAGCAUGCAGCAACUACAGUCAUUUGUUCUCAGAGGAGGGCAUUUCCACUCUGAAUUUCCAGUUCCAAACAUUUCAGUUUUCCACCAAGACAUCAUUCCUGGGUUUGGGAUUCCUGAAUUUUCUUCUGGACCAAAGAGAAACAAGAAAAGCUGGAGUCACACUACCAAAGGCCGAAGCUGAGCAACAGAGCUCUGGAGUCAGCUGCCUGGGUUCAGCAUGCAGCGCUGCCGUGGACGAUCUGUCUCUCUUGCAUAUAUGACUUACCAGUUUUACUUUCAGUCUCUCCAUUUCUAAUUAAAUGAGAUGCAGAAAU